CAGUCACCUGCACAGAGCCCUGUGAUAGUCCAAGACUGUUGCUAUGGGAGUGAUGUCACAGACAGACAACAAAUCACUGGCCUUUUCACCUCUGCCCUCUGGCUUUUUCCAUCCAAAAAGAACCCCACUCCUCUCCACAACGAGAGCAAGAUGAGCCCCACUGAUGGGGUCAAGGUAGGCAAAGUGCUGUCAGGUGUCCUUGGAAUCCUUGAGGAUACAAUUUUGGUCUCUCCUGCUGCUGCCAAAGGGGAGCAGGCAUUCAUCCACAUGCCUUGCCAAGGGGGAUCAGCACUUAAAAGAAAAUAAACUGGACUUGGAGAAUGUUAGAACUCUGGACUUGGAAUCAUCAGUCUGGCUUAGAAAAAGUUACCUAUACCACAUGGUUGCUGUGAGGUUCAAAUGAUCUAAGUCUCUCACGGGUCUCCAUCAUUUGAUGAAAGGUUAGAGAUCCAGUCCUGCCUGGAGCUGUCCUUGGUACAAGAUUACUCCAUCCUUUUCAGGUUUAGUUUUCUUCAUGUUACUCCCAUCCCAGUAAUAGAUCUUCUCUCCUCUCCAAGCCCUGACAGGAUCCCUUAUGAGAACUUGGUGGAGAUAUCAAUCAUAGGAAAGGAUCUUUGUCAGUAAGACCAGCAGUUAGCCACCUGCAGUAGGACAAACUAGACCAGGAAAAGACACUCAGCAUCAAGGCCUUGAUUGACACCUGUGUCAGAUCGUCAGCGUUUCAUACUUAACCCAAGAUCUUCAUACUUCACCAAUGAGGAAAUCGACUCUGAGAGUUUAAGGCAUUUCCAUAUUGCAUCAGAGACAGGAUUUGAACUGUCGUCACUAGACUCUAGCAUCAGACUCUUUCCACUUCAUACUUCACCAAUGAAGAAAUCGACCCUGAGAGUUUUAAGGCAUUUCCAUAUUGCAUCAGAGACAGGAUUUGAACUGUGGUCACUGGACUCUAGCAUCAGAGUCUUUCCACUCCACCACUGUCCAUUAAAUAAACAUCUUUUUUUCCUUCACUCUCAAUAGUCUUGUGAUCUCAUUGGCUCCCAUGGAGUCAGCUAUCUCUCUGCAGAUGCUUCCUAAAUCUAUAUUUCCAGCCCCAGUCUCUCUGCUGAGCUCAAA